CUGCCUUUCCUUGUCACGCCACCCCUGCCUCACUUCUCCCAACCCCGACUCUGUCGGCAUGGCUUUGCUGGUCUUUCUAAGUAGGAAAAACAUUUGGCUCACUGACCUGCAAGGAUCCUGCUCCAUUUACGUUCAGCAUCGCCAUGCCUGUGAGUCUUCGUGACUCUGGCCCUUGGAAAUCCUGCUUUGCUCUAAUCCCUCCCCUUCUGCUGUGUUGGUCUGGCUCAAAUGAGUUUAAGUUAGGCUGGGUUUCCCCUUUGGGUAAAAAAUAGCACAGUUUCUAAAUUCUGCUCUCUGUCCACAUCUGUAGGAUGAUCUCUACAUAUCAACACGACCCCGUCGGUGACUGUUCUGUUCACACCUUGUACAUCUUCGCUGAUUUUGUCUAGUUGAUCCACUGGUCACUACAAGAGGAAUGCAGCAAUCUCCCAACUGCAUCUGGUGAACUCCCUCUUCUUUCAAUUCUCCUAAUUUCCUAGGGUUUCCCUUUGUGUGUGCCUCGCGUGCGGCCCACCAGUGACCUGGGCGAGGUCGUUUGCAAGUGCCCCGAGCUGCGGGGCCCCACGCUCUGCUGAGCCGCUGGUGGGGGGGGACAGCAGUACUUUCACAGCUUAGCCGGCUGUCGUAUGUCCCUCGGUGCUGCUUUCUCCUGAGCUCUGCUGGGUCUCCUCCGUGCGUGUGCACAGUUCCCGUCGCCCAGGGACACGUGGAGAGCUUACCUCGAGUGGCGUGGCGGAGGUGAGCUGACGCCUCAGGGUCACACUCAGAUGCAGACAGAAGUAACGGAAGCGUGAGACACUGUUAACGUCGUAAGGAAGAGUCUUGGGACAGGAAGAGCUGAAGAAACCACUCAUCGACGACACUGGAAAGGAAACCACCGCGAGGCCGCUCACUCAGCUGCUGAGGUCAUUCACGUGUGUCUCUUAAAACGUUAGGCUGACCUCAGCCUAAAUGUGACCCGGCAGUCCUGUACAUAAAUCCGACUCGUUCAUACGGUAUAAAAGCCCCUUUCCCGUCUAGUGCCGUGUCUUCUGAACAGCCUCUUUCUGCACUUGGCAUCCAUGGCCGGCACCACCACGAGGUCCCCACGUCUCCGGUGCGUCCGUAACUUCCCUCCCCAGGCGUCCACUUGUUGACCACCUCAGACCCACAGAGAAUGUCAUGCAUUUUGAUGCCAUUUCCAACUUCCGAAGCGAAGUAUACUCAGCUCCCUGUGUGUUACAGCCAAGAGAGGAGGAAGGGCUAGUCGACCCGUGAUGCCUCUCCGCCUGGCUCUGGGCUCGGAGGUUCAACCUCCAUCCUCACCUCCUUUCACACAACAAAAUAAAUAUUAACAGGCUGAA